GGAUUUGAUAGAAGGAUCCCGUGUGUAUAGAUAGCCACUCCUCGAGGAUUCCUAGAGGUUAAUCAUGGAUCAAAAAAACAAUGCUAACAAUAGCGCAAAGUCUCUUCUUGCAAGAGCUGGAUUAGUUAAAGCUUACGCUUACUGCUAAUUCAUUAACCUUCAUUUUGACUCCUGCUAGAAUGAAGGUCGACCUAUAGCAGGAACCUCAUAGUUGGAUUAAUGAAAAGUGGAUAAGUUUGAUUCUUUUCUUUCACUAUCCUAUCAAUCUAACUUAAAAAAUUUGGAUGAAAAGAAAUCUAUAGUGGUAGAGGUUUAUAUGCAUGCCUUUUAGACUUGGGUUCGACACCCAACACCUCCAGAA
rnacentral:tmRNA from 1 species